GAAAAUUGGUCUAAUACCGUAUGAGGUCAUACGAUGGCAUCAGAAUAUGACGAAAGGUUUAGCGGUGAAGGAUGGGGAUGCGUCUGAUUAGCUUGUUGGUGAGGUAACGGCUCACCAAGGCGACGAUCAGUAGGGGUUCUGAGAGGAAGGUCCCCCACAUUGGAACUGAGACACGGUCCAAACUCCUACGGGAGGCAGCAGUGAGGAAUAUUGGUCAAUGGGCGAGAGCCUGAACCAGCCAAGUAGCGUGCAGGACGACGGCCCUAUGGGUUGUAAACUGCUUUUAUAUGGGGAUAAAGUGAGUUACGUGUAGCUUAUUGCAGGUACCAUAUGAAUAAGGACCGGCCAAUUCCGUGCCAGCAGCCGCGGUAAUACGGAAGGUCCAGGCGUUAUCCGGAUUUAUUGGGUUUAAAGGGAGCGUAGGCCGCCCCUUAAGCGUGUUGUGAAAUGCCGCGGCUCAACCGUGGCACUGCAGCGCGAACUGGGGGGCUUGAGUGCACGCAACGCAGGCGGAAUUCGUGGUGUAGCGGUGAAAUGCUUAGAUAUCACGAAGAACUCCGAUUGCGAAGGCAGCUUGCGGGAGUGCGACUGACGCUGAAGCUCGAAGGUGCGGGUAUCGAACAGGAUUAGAUACCCUGGUAGUCCGCACAGUAA
rnacentral:rRNA from 1 species